rnacentral:lncRNA from 1 species
AAUUUAUAGAAAUUCGUUGAAUUUCUUUCUUAAAUUAAAUAAGAAAAAACUUCAAAUACCAUCUCUGUAAUUUUACAUUUUCUCAUUUUAGUAUCCCGUGGUUUAAAGUGUAUCAAUUUAGUGCCCUGUGGUUUAAUUUUUAUCUUUCUAUCAUCGAUUCCACUAAUUUUUUCGUUAAAUUAGUGACAAAGUUAAAACUAAAAGGUACUAAAGUGAAUAUUCGAUAAACCUAGGUAGGAUAUCUGAAAUAUUUUGCAUAUGAUUUAACGAAAUAUUAACGAAAAAACUGACUUGAUACACUUUAAACCACAUGAUACUAAAGUGAAAAAAAUGCAAAACUACAUGGGUGAUAUUUAAAGUUUACACAUUAAAUAAUAAGGUGUCUACAAAUGAGAAAGAAAGGUGGAAGAGGCAGUUCAGUGUUUCUUGUCCUUCGUUCCAUGGAUCCCACCAGAGCCCACUCUGGAAUUUCUUCUCUCAGUAGCUGAUCUUUUUUUUUUCUGUGGAAAAUUAAUAGUGAAGAAAUUAUUGUGUGAGCUCAAUGCGUUAGUAACUUCCAUGCAACAUUUAUAAUUUGAUUUGAUAGUGGUUGCGGCUUAUCUGGUCAGUUCGAUUGAUCCAUCGAUUUAUCGAGUCAGCUCUGAGAGAGAAAGAUAGCAUGCUGCAUAAUUUGUUUAUUUUCUUAAAAAAUAAACUUAGCUGGAAAUAUAAAACAAUUAGGCUUCGAACUUGGGAUAUCGGAUACCAACUAUCAAAUUCUUUGCCACAUUAUUUAGAGACGGUUAAUUCUGAAUUGUUCACU